rnacentral:rRNA from 1 species
UACCAGCAUCCCGAGUGGUCGGGACGUUUAUUGGGCCUAAAGCAUCCGUAGCCGGUUCUACAAGUCUUGCGUGAAAUCUCGGGGCCCAACCCCGAGCGGUCGUGAGAAACUGGCAGGCUAGAGUGCGGGAGAGGAGAGUGGAAUUCCUGGUGUAGCGGUGAAAUGCGCAGAUAUCAGGAAGAACACCCGUGGCGAAGGCGGCUCUCUGGAACGCAACUGACGCUGAGACGCGAAAGCGUGGGGAGCAAACAGG